rnacentral:lncRNA from 1 species
UUUUUUUUUUUUUAAUUUUUUUUUGGGGGGAUUUUAUUUAUUUAUUUCACAGAGAGAGCACAAGCAGGGGAGGCAGAUGAAGGAAAAGGAGAAGCAGACUUCCCAUUAAGCAGGGAGCCUGAUACAGGGCUCAAUCCCAGGACCCUGAGAUCAUGACCUGAGCUAAAGGCAGACACAUAACCGACUGAGCCACCCAGGGGCCCCUAAAGCCUUCAGUCUUAAGUAGUUGAGAAAAAGAGCUGGAAAAAGGAACUGACCACACUGUUGAGGCAUAUUCUUCUUUGGAAAUAGAGCCAGAGAAUUGAAAACUUCAUGAGUAAACUUGGCUUGGUUCUACCAUUAAUCCACUCAAGUCCUCUGUAUAACUUCAGUGUAUGGGUUUCAGGUCACAGUAAAAUAGCUUGGGUGCAUACUAUGAAUCCUCUUACCUGAUUUCUCUCUGUCUAAAGUCUACAUUAACAUGAAACUAGAAGAAUGUCACCAUCUCCCACCAGUCUGACACAUUAAACCCACAUUUCUGAGAGUGACAGACGAUGCCACCUUGUUUGUCUUGUGUAAGACCCUUAUGGAGGCCUGGUCAAUGUAUUGACAGCCAAUGUCAAUCCAGUCUAGUAGAAGAUCCACUCUACUGUGACAGAACCAGAGUAUUCAGGCAAAACUUUUUGCCUAGACAUAGGGCCAGGACUCUCUUAGUGAGAUUUGGGGGUGGGGAGGGGUGAGUAGUAAAAGAACUCUGGGUACUUGAUGCUUUCAUCUAGAAAGAGUAUGAGAUCUGGAGCCAGGCAGACUAGGCUGGAAACAAAUCUCUCUUCUAUAUAUUAUUAAUUAGAUAACAUUAGACAAGUUACUUACAUUUGUUGAGCUUCAUUUUCCUGAAGUAUAAAAUGGUGAUGAUACUGAUCAUUAUUGUAGGGCUUAAAUCGAAUGAUUAAUAUAGAAAGUGUUUUGCAUAUUUCCUGGCACAGAGGAGGUGCUAAAUGAUGGUAUAUAUAACAAUUAACACCUACUUCAUCAUAAUUUUCAUUAUCAUAAUUUUCAUUAUUAAUAACAUAGGGUAUAAGCCACAAUUAGUACACUUCUCCUACAGAAUAUCAGGAUCUACCACUGUUGGAUAAUUUUGGUCAAAGGCUUGUUGUAGGUUGCAGAAAAGAUCCUCCUUCUCAAGUUCAAAUAUUUGCUCAUUCUGGAGGCAAAUGAGAGCUUGCUUUAGAGAUUAACAUGAGAUCCAAUUUUAAAUUUCCCAUGUUGGAACUGGGGAUGCUAAAUAAUGACCUGGAGAUUUGAAUAUCAACAUUCCUUAGAGAGGAAGUAGCCAAAUGGCAUUCUCUAUUGCUUUCAGCAAAUCCAAUUAGUUGAAAGCUCAAUUUACAAUGAAUCAUGGGAGGGGCUUGUGGAAGGAAUACUGAAUAGGAAUAAAGAGAGCUAUAAUCUAGUAGAAAUAACACUCAUGAUUAAUAUUUGCACUACUCUAUGCCGUUUAAAACAUAUUUCAUAGUAUUUGAUCUUUACAACAAUGCUUCUGGCACAUAUUUUUAUUUUCCCAGAAGGCAAUGCCUCACUAACAAUUAUAUGUUUUAACAAUAUCUUGACUCCGACCCCUCCUCUCCCUAACCACAAAUACAGUCCUAGAUUGGGUCUCAUCAUCUAUCUGAGAUAUUACAGUGCCUCCUUGCUGGUAUUCCUUUCUCAAUUUCACACCCUCCAUUUCACGUCCUACUCUUAUGACCAAAAGUCCUUCUUAAAUCACAAACAUGAUCAUUUCACUCCUUUGUAUAAAACCUUUCAAAUUCUAUGCCUCCAAGUUACCAUCUCUUUCCUCUCUUCCUCCCUCCCUUUAUUCCCUUCUUCCCAUCUUCCUUCCUCUCUCCUUCCUUCCUUCCUUCCUUCCUUCCUUCCUUCCUUCCUUCCUUCCUUCCUUCCUUCCUUCCUUCCUUCCUUCCUUCCUCUCAUGUCCUCUGUUGGGCAAAAUUUACCUCAUAAGUCUCACCUUAAAGCAGGAAUGAGCACAGGUACUUCAGUUGAAGCUCAGGUAAAGAACUCAGACAGCACUUGUUUGUCCCUUGCUCUCUGCUUUAUUUCCUCCUCUCUAAACCCCU